GGCUUGUUGAUUAUAAUUUCAGGUCUGACCUGCCCUAUGAGUUGAUUAAAUGGCCGCGGUAUUUUGACCGUGCAAAGGUAGCAUAAUCACUAGUUUUUUAAUUGAAAGCUUGAAUGAAAGGUUUGAUGAAAAAAGUUCUGUCUCUAGAAAGAUUUAUUAAAAUUUUAUUUUUAAGUUAGAAAGCUUAAAUUUACAUAGAAGACGAGAAGACCCUGUAGAGUUUUAUAUUUUUAUAGAAGGCUAAAUUUUAAGUAUAAAAAUUUAAUUUUUUAUAAAAAGUAUUUUGUUGGGGUGAUAGGAAAAUUAGUAAAACUUUUCUUAUAUAAUUACAUUUAUUUGUGGGUUGAUGAUCCUUAUGUUAAGAUUAAAAGAUUAAAUUACCUCAGGGAUAACAGCGUUAUUUUUUUUAGAGUUCUUAUCAAAAAAAAAGUUUGCGACCUCGAUGUUGGAUUAAAGUAAGUUGCUGGUGUAGGAGCUAGUAAAUUGAGUCUGUUCGACUUUUAAUACUUUACAUGAUCUGAGUUUAAACCGGCGUGAG
rnacentral:rRNA from 1 species